GGAGAUUGGCGGCGGGCAAGCGCCUCGCCAACCCGGUCAGGUCCGGAAGGAAGCAGCCGUAACGAGUUCCGCUUGGGUCGCCUGUCCAAUCUCCCAC
rnacentral:SRP_RNA from 1 species